rnacentral:rRNA from 1 species
CCUACGGGUGGCAGCAGUGGGGAAUAUUGGGCAAUGGGCGCAAGCCUGACCCAGCAACGCCGCGUGAAGGAAGAAGGCUUUCGGGUUGUAAACUUCUUUUCUCAGGGACGAAGCAAGUGACGGUACCUGAGGAAUAAGCCACGGCUAACUACGUGCCAGCAGCCGCGGUAAUACGUAGGUGGCAAGCGUUAUCCGGAUUUACGGGGUGUAAAGGGCGUGUAGGCGGGAAAGCAAGUCAGAUGUGAAAACCAUGGGCUCAACCUGUGGCCUGCAUUUGAAACUGUUUUUCUUGAGUGCUGGUGAGGCAGACGGAAUGCGUAGUGUAGCGGUGAAAUGCGUAGAUAUUAGGAGGAACACCAGUGGCGAAGGCAGUCUGCUAGACAGCAACUGACGCUGAGGCGCGAAAGCGUGGGGAGCGAACAGGAUUAGAUACCCGAGUAGUC